UUGUUGUUGCUAAUCCUACUGGGAGGAGUCCCUUGUGCCCUAAAGGGCUCCAAAAUACAUCAAUUCCUCUGCUGCCUCGAAAUAUUAUCAAACGUUUUAAACUCUUCAGUGUUUUUAAUGAAUAAUUCUGAAGCUAAGGGCAAGAAGAGUAUUUUUAUGUUUACUUCAAGAAUUUAAAUCUGAAGAAGAAAGGAGGCAUCUUCAUCCAG